AAUUGACGAUAUCGGACGUCAGAUAAGCGAUCGAUAGUCUCUAAAGCCUCGCAAGUCUGGAAUAAAAGACGAAAAGUACGUUAAUAAGAAAGAACUCGAGUAUUCAGGCAAUAGGAAGAUGCAGAAUCAGACACAAAAAAUGGAUUUUUAUGAGCAGUAGGCGACCUAUGGCCGAAAAGUGAGUUCCAACAAAAUCCAGUUGAGCUGCAAGACACGCUAUAGUUCCAACUACAAUGAGAACCAAUGCAGCUCGAAAUGCCAGCUGUAACCAGGACCGACGCAUAGCUGCCACUAAUGGCUGGCAAAUUAUAUCCAUCUCUUCUUCGGUAAAGCCAGCUUGUUGGCAAUAUCUGGAGCAAAGGUGACAAUUCAAAAAUGAAAAUAAUACUUUGUUAAACUGAACUUAUGUUAAAGUUGUAAACAUUUGUUAAGAUAAACUUUAAUAAGAGAG